rnacentral:tRNA from 1 species
AGUCCGGUAGCUCAACAGGUUAGAGCGGUUGCUCUAUAAGCGAAGGGUUGCAGGUUCAACUCCUGUCCGGACUA